GAAGCAAGUAUGAAAGACGGUUGCGAGUCCAUUGGACUCGAGGAAAGUCCGAGCUCCAUAGGGCAGGAUGCCAGAUAACGUCUGGCGAGGGUGACCUUAGGGAAAGUGCCAUAGAAAAGGAAACCGCCACGUCAGUGGUAAGGGUGGGGUCCCGCCUACCUUCCGGGUUGUGUCGCUCGAGCGUGCAGGCGACUGUACGCCUAGAAAGAUAAUCGUCACCGCGCAAGCGGAACAGAACUCGGCUUAAUGAUUGCUUGCUUCUUAU
rnacentral:RNase_P_RNA from 1 species